rnacentral:rRNA from 1 species
UUGUGGGGGGAUUAGUGGCGAACGGGUGAGUAACACGUGAGUAACCUGCCCUUGACUCUGGGAUAAGCCUGGGAAACUGGGUCUAAUACCGGAUAUGACUGAUCAUCGCAUGGUGGUUGGUGGAAAGCUUUUUUGUGGUUUUGGAUGGACUCGCGGCCUAUCAGCUUGUUGGUGAGGUAAUGGCUUACCAAGGCGACGACGGGUAGCCGGCCUGAGAGGGUGACCGGCCACACUGGGACUGAGACACGGCCCAGACUCCUACGGGAGGCAGCAGUGGGGAAUAUUGCACAAUGGGCGCAAGCCUGAUGCAGCGACGCCGCGUGAGGGAUGACGGCCUUCGGGUUGUAAACCUCUUUCAGUAGGGAAGAAGCGAAAGUGACGGUACCUGCAGAAGAAGCGCCGGCUAACUACGUGCCAG